GACGAACGCUGGCGGCGUGCUUAAUACAUGCAAGUCGAACGCAGGGUGGACGGGUGAGUAACACGUGGGUAACCUCCCAUCAGAGGGGAUAACACUUUGAAACAGGUGCUAAACCGAUACUGAUGGAUGGACCCGCGGUGGAUUAGCUAGUUGGCGAGGUAACGGGUCACCAAGGCCACGAUGCAUAGGCGACCUGGGAGGGUGAUCGGCCACACUGGGACUGAGACACGGCCCAGAAUCCUACGGGAGGCAGAAGUAGGGAAUCUUCGGCAAUGGACGAAAGUCUGACCGAGAAACGCCGCGUGAGUGAAGAAGGUUUUCGGAUCGUAAAACUCUGUUGUUAGAGAAGCGGUAUCUAACCAGAAAGCCACGGCUAACUACGUGCCAGCAGCCGCGGUAAUUC
rnacentral:rRNA from 1 species